GGCCCGGCUCAAGCAUGCGUUACAGAGGCAAGGCCAGGGACCCCAACGCAGCCUGCUGCGCAUGCGCCCACGCCCAUUAUGAGCAGCAAGGCACAGAGCGCGAGUGUCCGCGCGGGCAGGUUUGGGCGGGGCGAGGAGCCCAGCGGUUAGGAGGCGUCCGGCUGAGCCGCCCCGCUGUCUCCCAGCCAGGCCUUGGCAGGGCCCAGGGGCUGCCAAAUGGGAGAGCCCCGCCCCCUCCGGCACUAGCACCCCCUCGCGCGGGGGGCAGCGUUAGACAUGAGCUGAGGGACCAACUGCUCGGCCCUCGCCUCGGCAGCCCUGAGCUCGCGCUCUGGCUGUGCCCAACCUGCCUUUCCUAGCGGCAGGACGGCCUGGCACAAGGGCAGGCGAGUCCCGCCCAAACUCCCUUCCCGCUCCGGGUGACCUGGGGCCUCCCGGUCAACCCCAGCGUGUGGCGCGAUCCGCGAGCACACCGACUGGCCCCUCCGCACAGCUCACCUCGUAGCGAACAGCGGGGGAGCGCAGAACGGUUCUCCAUGGUAUUGUGGUGAAACUUCAUUAUGGUAAAGGAGCCUUGAAGAUCAUCUGUCUUUGCAAAUAAGAAAAAUGCUGGCAAGUGCAGUGGUACAGAUAAGUCUGCAGCACAUCAUGGGGAUCUUUGUGUAAACUGAGGCAAGUAUUCCAUAGAAUAGCAAUAAAAAGAUAUCUAUUCCCUGCACCACCAAAGAGUCUUUGAACAAGCAAGCAGCUACCUUCUUUUUCGAGUGUCAGCCUGCUGGAAAGUCCUAUAAAGUGCAGUGCUGUGCUAUCACUUUAAUGAAUGCUGCAUGUGGAUACAACACGAAGGAAACUGAAGCCUUGUAGAGCAUAUCAUCUCUCCAGGCCCCCAUCUCAGAUUGCAUAGGAGCCACUCUCACCUAUGUCUAGUGAAUAUCUGUGGCCCAAAGCACAUCAUCGUGCCAGAGUGUUUACCAGUCCCCCAUCUAGACUAUGUCUGUCCAGAAGCACUGCAGCAGCCCCAUCAAAAGUAGGACCCUGGCAACCUUCCUCCUCUUCUUCAAGGACAAGGCAACAGAGGACAUCUCCACACUGAGGGAAGGAAGCAGUGGCAAGGUCUUAGGAUAUGAGGCUGCCUUAUCAAGAAAUAUUUGAAUUGCUUCUGAGGCUUCAGACCAAGUGUAUUUUAUGAAAUACAGUACAUUGCCUAUUCUUGUGCUUAUUGUUUUAUCGUAUUCUUUUUUAGCUCUUGUCUCUUCACGUUUGGCCUUUAAAUAUACACUUAAAUUAUCAAUGCAGAUAAUUUUAAAAAUCUAAUGUACUUUUCACUUUUAAGCUCUUUUUUUUUUUUUAUUUAUUUCACAUAGCUUGGACAGUGUCACUAAACUGGUCAGUUUCUUCUUCUGUUUCUUGUGAACUAACACAAUACGGUUGAGUUAGAUUCACACUACUGCAGAGAGAAGUCCACAUUUUUCCAAAAGAUUGUUUUCAUUGACAUUUGAGGGGAUGGGAAAUAAGUGACCACAUUUUUAUUCAUAAUAGGUCAGAUCCUGCUACCACUGAAUUCAGUGGCUAGACCUCUAUUGGAUGCUAGCAUUUAUACAAUUCUUUCUUUAUUUUUAACAGACAUAAACUUUGAGCUUUGAACUAGUUUAAAAGUACCCUUUUGACAUUUUGGCUUCUAACUGUCCAUGUACUACUUAGAUGAGUGGGAUGGAGAUUACUGGGUUAUAUCACCCAGGACAAAAUUCACUGAAAGGGGCCGAAAUAAAGGAAAACUCAGUGGGGUUUUCCUCACAGUGUUUCUUUCAUAACUUUCUAAAAAUCUUGAAGUCUGUUAUUUCCUUACCACUCACCAGCAAGGCCUAGUUCUGCACUCUGAUCUUUCUUGGUUUCAACGGGAGGUUUGCCCAAGAAUAGACUACGUGAUCAGAUCCGCUACGUCUCAAUUCAAAAUUCAUUGUUUCCCCUGACAUUACAAGCACCUGCAGCAGAGAAAGGAGAUCCAGAAAAUACAGGGAAAGAGGGUAAAAAUCUCAGUGAAAAAAUUUAUUUCUUAAAAAUACUGUAACUUUAAAGGAUCGGAGGGGGAGGGGGGAAAAAUCUCCUAAAAUGGAUUAUUUUUAUGAUUGUGUAUUUCUUUCCUUGAAUGCAUCUAGCAUGUUGAUUAAACUUAAUGUUACCUUUAAUAUUAAACUGUUUUUAAAAGGAAUAUCUGUGUUGUAAUUGGCUAAAAUAUUGAAACACCAGAAUCAAAUCCUGAACA